rnacentral:rRNA from 9 species
UUGACCUCGGAUCAGGUAGA